UACCUAACCGUUGCUUCGGCGGGCAGGGGAAGCCUCUCGCGGGCCUCCCCUCCCGGCGCCGGCCCCCACCACGGGGACGGGGCGCCCGCCGGAGGAAACCAAACUCUAUUUACACGACGUCUCUUCUGAGUGGCACAAGCAAAUAAUUAAAACUUUUAACAACGGAUCUCUUGGUUCUGGCAUCGAUGAAGAACGCAGCGAAAUGCGAUAAGUAAUGUGAAUUGCAGAAUUCAGUGAAUCAUCGAAUCUUUGAACGCACAUUGCGCUCGCCAGCAUUCUGGCGAGCAUGCCUGUUCGAGCGUCAUUUCAACCCUCAAGCACCGCUUGGUUUUGGGGCCCCACGGCACACGUGGGCCCUUAAAGGUAGUGGCGGACCCUCCCGGAGCCUCCUUUGCGUAGUAACUAACGUCUCGCACUGGGAUCCGGAGGGACUCUUGCCGUAAAACCCCCCAAUUC
rnacentral:rRNA from 1 species